GACGGAGGAUGCAAGCGUUAUCCGGAAUUAUUGGGCGUAAAGCGUCCGCAGGUGGCUUAUCAAGUCUGCCGUCAAAGACCGGGGCUUAACCCUGGAAAGGCAGUGGAAACUGAGAAGCUAGAGUGUGGCAGGGGCAGAGGGAAUUCCCGGUGUAGCGGUGGAAUGCGCAGAUAUCAGGAGGAACACCGAUGGCGAAGGCAGUUCUCUGGGCCGUAACUGACGCUGAGGAGCGAAAGCGUGGGGAGCGAACAGG
rnacentral:rRNA from 1 species